rnacentral:misc_RNA from 1 species
GAAAUGCGAUAAGUAAUGUGAAUUGCAGAAUUCAGUGAAUCAUCGAAUCUUUGAACGCACCUUGCGCUCCUUGGUAUUCCUUGGAGCAUGCCUGUUUGAGUAUCAUGAAAUCUUCAAAGUAAAUCUUUUGUUAACUCAAUUGGUUUCUACUUUGGUAUUGGAGGUCUUUGCAGCUUCACACCUGCUCCUCUUUGUUCAUUAGCUGGAUCUCAGUGUUAUGCUUGGUUCCACUCGGCGUGAUAAGUUAUCUAUCGCCGAGGACACUGUAAAAGGUGGCCAAGGUAAAUGCAGAUGAACCGCUUCUAAUAGUCCAUUGACUUGGACAAUACUUUUAUGAUCUGAUCUCAAAUCAGGUAGGACUACCCGCUGAACUUACGC